AUGCUAAUAUUUAUAUUAUCCAAACAACCAUAUAGAGUCUGUCGUCGCAACCUUAUCUCCUCAUUCUCUCGUUACAGAACAACCCAACUCCCCCGAGGACACGCCGCUGCUGCCGCCGGGAUUCUCUCCUCCACGCAUCUCCCGCACACCCGCACCACCUCCGCACGCCAGCGGAUUCCGCGCUCCACCGACGGCCGCCAGCGCUCCAGCUUCGACAGCCACUAUCGGCCCUUUUCUGGUUUUUCAGAUCAGAUUGGCUCCGUCACUCCUCCCGCUCUCCUCCCGCUCGAGGCCGCCGUCGUAGCUCGAGCACCGCCGUCGCUGCACCCCCCUUCCCCUCCAAAUCAGACACGGGUCGGUCUCGCGCGCGAGUACGGCGCCGCCCACGGCCCGCGGCCCCUGAGCAACAUGUCAACGCCCACGGCCCACCGCGCUGUCGAGCGUCUCCGGCAAAGUCGCACCGUCGAUAGAGAGGACCAUUGCCGCCUGACGCCCGAGCGCCGCCGGCGUCCAGACCCCUCCACGCCAUCCCCAUCUCGCCGAAGACCUGCAUCAAGUCUCCCAUCCAGCGCCCGCGCCACUCUUCGGCCCCCGCCCCGCAGCUCUACACCCCGAGUGCUUCAGUCGCCUCGCGACCCGCCGGUGUCCAGACCCCCUCCACGCCAUCCCCAUCUCGCGGAACACCUGCACAAAGUCCCGUCGAGCGCCCUCGCCACCCAUCGCCCUCGCCCCGCUGCUCUGCUAUUCGAGCGCUUCAACCGCCUCGUGCCCGAAGCAGAGGAGAGGAGCUCCCUGCCACGAGCCUCUCCAGCGCCGGCAGCGCUUCAGUCGCCUCGUGCCCGAAGCAGAGAAGUACUUCCCGCAUCAACGUCGACGAUGCCUAUCCCGCAUCCUCCUCGGCGGUGGAGGCCUGCUUAA
rnacentral:rRNA from 1 species